GGGAAAGAGCUUGCUCUUUCCGGAAUUGAGUGGCAAACGGGUGAGUAACACGUAAACAACCUGCCUUCAGGAUGGGGACAACAGACGGAAACGACUGCUAAUACCGAAUAAGUUCCAAGAGCCGCAUGGCCCAUGGAAGAAAAGGUGGCCUCUACCUGUAAGCUAUCGCCUGAAGAGGGGUUUGCGUCUGAUUAGCUGGUUGGAGGGGUAACGGCCCACCAAGGCGACGAUCAGUAGCCGGUCUGAGAGGAUGAACGGCCACACUGGAACUGAGACACGGUCCAGACUCCUACGGGAGGCAGCAGUGGGGAAUCUUCCGCAAUGGGCGAAAGCCUGACGGAGCAACGCCGCGUGAGUGAUGACGGCCUUCGGGUUGUAAAACUCUGUGAUCCGGGACGAAAAGGCAGAGUGCGAAGAACAAACUGCAUUGACGGUACCGGAAAAGCAAGCCGCGGCUAACUACGUGCCAGCAGCCGCGGUAAUACGUAGGUGGCAAGCGUUGUCCGGAAUUAUUGGGCGUAAAGCGCGCGCAGGCGGCUUCCCAAGUCCCUCUUAAAAGUGCGGGGCUUAACCCCGUGAUGGGAAGGAAACUGGGAAGCUGGAGUAUCGGAGAGGAAAGUGGAAUUCCUAGUGUAGCGGUGAAAUGCGUAGAGAUUAGGAAGAACACCGGUGGCGAAGGCGACUUUCUGGACGAAAACUGACGCUGAGGCGCGAAAGCGUGGGGAGCAAACAGGAUUAGAUACCCUGGUAGUCCACGCCGUANACGAUGGAUACUAGGUGUAGGAGGUANCGACCCCUCC
rnacentral:rRNA from 1 species